GAGUCCUACGGGAGGCAGCAGUGGGGAAUAUUGCACAAUGGGGGGAACCCUGAUGCAGCAAUGCCGCGUGAAGGAUGAAGGUUUUCGGAUUGUAAACUUCUUUUGUACGGGACGAAGAAAGUGACGGUACCGUAAGAAUAAGCCACGGCUAACUACGUGCCAGCAGCCGCGGUAAUACGUAGGUGGCAAGCGUUAUCCGGAUUUACUGGGUGUAAAGGGCGAGUAGGCGGGAUUGCAAGUCAGAUGUGAAAACUAUCGGCUCAACCAGUAGAGUGCGUUUGAAAGUG
rnacentral:rRNA from 1 species